rnacentral:misc_RNA from 1 species
GUGAAUCAUCGAAUUUUUGAACGCAUAUUGCACUCUCUGGUAUUCCGAAGAGUAUGUCUAUUUGAGGGUCAUUUGAAAUAAUAUUAAUUUCCAGUUUUCCAGUAAUUUAAAAUGGGUUGUCCAUUUUUUGUGGUCGCGUAAAUUCAAAGUCAUGCUUAUUAUCUUGUGUUGCGUGAUGCUUUCAGUUAACUCGUGAUUUAACUUGGACUUAAUGGAUGUGAUAUGACUUUU